rnacentral:rRNA from 1 species
UACGGGAGGCAGCAGUGGGGAAUCUUGCGCAAUGGGCGAAAGCCUGACGCAGCCAUGCCGCGUGAAUGAUGAAGGUCUUAGGAUUGUAAAAUUCUUUCACCGGGGACGAUAAUGACGGUACCCGGAGAAGAAGCCCCGGCUAACUUCGUGCCAGCAGCCGCGGUAAUACGAAGGGGCUAGCGUUGCUCGGAAUUACUGGGCGUAAAGGGAGCGUAGGCGGACAUUUAAGUCAGGGGUGAAAUCCCGGGGCUCAACCUCGGAAUUGCCUUUGAUACUGGGUGUCUUGAGUAUGAGAGAGGUGUGUGGAACUCCGAGUGUAGAGGUGAAAUUCGUAGAUAUUCGGAAGAACACCAGUGGCGAAGGCGACACACUGGCUCAUUACUGACGCUGAGGCUCGAAAGCGUGGGGAGCAAACAGGGAUUAGAUACC